rnacentral:rRNA from 1 species
CUGAGUACGGCGGAACACGUGAAAUUCCGUCGGAAUCCGGGAGGACCAUCUCCCAAGGCUAAAUACUCCCUAGUGACCGAUAGUGAACCAGUACCGUGAGGGAAAGGUGAAAAGCACCCCGGAAGGGGAGUGAAACAGUUCCUGAAACCGUGUGCCUACAAGUAGUUAGAGCCCGUUAAUGGGUGAUAGCGUGCCUUUUGUAGAAUGAACCGGCGAGUUACGAUUUGUUGCAAGGUUAAGCGGAAAAAGCGGAGCCGUAGCGAAAGCGAGUCUGAAUAGGGCGCAUAAGUAACAGGUCGUAGACCCGAAACCAGGUGAUCUACCCAUGUCCAGGAUGAAGGUAAGGUAAUACUUACUGGAGGUCCGAACCCACGCACGUUGAAAAGUGCGGGGAUGAGGUGUGGGUAGCGGAGAAAUUCCAAUCGAACUUGGAGAUAGCUGGUUCUCUCCGAAAUAGCUUUAGGGCUAGCCUCGAGGUAAAGAGUCAUGGAGGUAGAGCACUGUUUGGACUAGGGGCCCUUCUCGGGUUACCGAAUUCAGAUAAACUCCGAAUGCCAUGUACUUAUACUCGGGAGUCAGACUGCGAGUGAUAAGAUCCGUAGUCGAAAGGGAAACAGCCCAGACCACCAGUUAAGGUCCCCAAAUAUAUGUUAAGUGGAAAAGGAUGUGGGGUUGCUUAGACAACCAGGAUGUUGGCUUAGAAGCAGCCACCAUUGAAAGAGUGCGUAAUAGCUCACUGGUCGAGUGACCCCGCGCCGAAAAUGUACCGGGGCUAAACAUAUUACCGAAACUGUGGAUGAACCUCUUUAGAGGUUCGUGGUAGGAGAGCGUUCUAAGGGCGGUGAAGUCAGACCGGAAGGACUGGUGGAGCGCUUAGAAGUGAGAAUGCCGGUAUGAGUAGCGAAAGAAGGGUGAGAAUCCCUUCCACCGAAUAUCUAAGGUUUCCUGAGGAAGGCUCGUCCGCUCAGGGUUAGUCGGGACCUAAGCCGAGGCCGAUAGGCGUAGGCGAUGGACAACAGGUAGAGAUUCCUGUACCAGUGCUAAUUGUUUAACCGAUGGGGUGACACAGAAGGAUAGGGAAUCGCACGAAUGGAAAUGUGCGUCCAAGCAGUGAGUGUGAGAAGUAGGCAAAUCCGCUUCUCGCGAAGCAUGAGCUGUGAUGGGGAAGGAAAUUAAGUACGGAAGUUCCUGAUUUCACGCU